rnacentral:rRNA from 1 species
AACACAUGCAAGUCGAGGGCGAGCACAAGGAGCAAUCUGAGGUGGCGACCGGCGCACGGGUGAGUAACACGUAUGCAACCUGCCUGUAAGCGGGGAAGUAACCCGUUGAAAGACGGACUAAUACCGCAUAAUACUAAAUUACUGCAUGGUAAUUUAUUUAAACAUUUAUGGCUUACAGAUGGGCAUGCGCAUGAUUAGCUAGUUGGAGAGGUAACGGCUCCCCAAGGCAACGAUCAUUAGGGGUUCUGAGAGGAAGGUCCCCCACCACUGGUACUGAGACACGGACCAGACUCCUACGGGAGGCAGCAGUGAGGAAUAUUGGUCAAUGGACGAGAGUCUGAACCAGCCAAGUCGCGUGCAGGAAGAAUGUCCCUAUGGAUUGUAAACUGCUUUUGCAGGGGAAUAAAGUGCAUCACGUGUGAUGUUUUGUAUGUACUCUGCGAAUAAGGAUCGGCUAACUCCGUGCCAGCCGCCGC